rnacentral:tRNA from 1 species
UAUAGCUCAGUUGGUUAGAGCGCCAGAUUGUGGCUCUGGAGGUCGUGAGUUCGACUCUCAUUA